GGUAUUAGAGUCUAGGUUUUUGUUUCGCAUGCGCAACUCGUGCUCCUCCCGAUCCAUUCUCUCGCACAGCCGGCGCCGGCGCCGGCGCUGUCUCUUCCUUCCCCGCCAAAGGUUGUUCCUGCCGACAGUUGUCUCGUGGCUGCUAGUGUUUCCCGCUGAAGGCCGCUGGAUCCCACUGCCGAGUCCCGCUCCAAACUGUUGCCCGAGCCUCGCUGGAUCACGCUGCUGGGUCGCUGGUCACUGGAUUGCUGGACCCGCUGCCGCUCGAUCUGGUUGAUCGAUCGAUCGAUCGAUGGCUGGUCGCUGGCUCCCGUCGCCCCAGUCCACCGUCCUGCUAUACCAGUCAUCAUCCUGCACCAGAUCUUGUCGUGCCCGCCACCGUCUUGCCGGCUCCUGCCUCUGUUUCGCUGGAUUCCGCCGCCGUGCUGACCGGAUUCCGCCGUCGUGCUCGCCAGAUCUCGCCGUCGGCCACGUGCUCACCGGAUCCCGCCACCGGCCGCGUGCUCAUCGGAUCCCGCGGCUAUCCUCGCUGCCAGCCACCCGUACUGCUG
rnacentral:lncRNA from 1 species